rnacentral:lncRNA from 1 species
UAGUGUUUCAACCUAGGGAUGAGAAUUUGUUUAAUUUGAUGUUCCGACCUGGGUGCACCAAAACAAGAAUUUAACAUGAUCCAUAAUGAAAUAGUUGUUCUCAUCCCUAGGUCGGAACACCGAAUUAUUGUCUGCCUUUCAAAUGGUCCACACACAUGCAAGCCAUAUCUCCCAUAGAUAAAUUAUAACUUUCCCACCCUUACACUUUUGUUAGAAUUUUAUUAAUGAUGACAAGGUUCCGAAAAGCUAUCCUCUCCUGAUAUUUCCAUCAAUAUAUUCAAAUGUAGUUUGGCCCCAUCUGUAGUUAAGCACUAGUUGGUUCGUCCAACUAAGUUUGAUUCACAUUGACUCCAACCAAAAAAGCUUUGUGGAAGAUCACUUUUAAACCAUGUCAUCUCAAAAAGAAGUACACUCGCUUUGAGAGCUCUAAUGUUCGCCCAAGACUUCUCUUCCUCCAAACUCAUAUCAUCAACAAAUUGCUUGUGUUAAUUUGAACUCAUCAUUAUUUUCAACCUGAACUUUAUCAAUACACGUCAAAAGUAGAGAAUAGAUACAUUCAACAAUAAGCAAAAAUAAAAUAAAAAAUGUUAGAGGGAUCACCUUACCUCAACCCCCACCCCAUUUUAUAUUCUUUUUUUAGGUUUCCAUUAACAAGAAUUGUAACAUUGAUUGUGCCAAAACACUCCAUGAUUCAUCAUCUCCAUUUAUAAGAAAAUAAAAAAUAAAAAUCCCAUUUUCGUCACCACAAAGUCUACAUAUGGGAUACAUAGAGCAAAAAUUUAUAUAUAUCGCCCUUGAAGUGGUAUAAUAACUCACAAACACUAAAUACACUCCAUAUGUUUUUUUUUUACAAGACCCUAUAAUAACUAGUUAUAAUUAUAAAUUUGUAAAAAUAGUUUAACUUUCAUGUCUUGUUUACAAAUCACAACCAAUCAUGACGACCUUAAAAAGCGGUUAUAAUAAAAGUCAAAACGUUCUCUAAAAAAAAAAAAAAGUCAAAAUAUUUUUUAGUGAUCUAACCAUUGUGUGAAUUACAAGUGUAAAAAUUCUUACACAAGAAUGAAAUCUUCGUGAAAUAUGUUACUUUUCCAUAAUCACCUCUACAAUUAAUUAUAUCAUAUUCAUAGGAAAUAAAUUAACGUUUUUCAAUUGUAAAUUAUAUAUGAAUAUUAUUGUAAAGAAAUUAUUAAUACAUUUAAAAGUUUUGUAAAAAAUAUUUUUGUAAAGAGACAGAAAUAUGAAAAGAUGGUCUUAUAAUUAUUGAGUGAGGAAGUGGUCUUUCUAAACAUAAUUAAUUGUCUAACAAAGGAAAUCAACUAGAAUAUAUAUUCACCAAAAAGCCAUAAUAAAAUAUGUAAUAAUUAGUUAAACAACUAAUAAUCACUUGAGAACCAAAUUCACAAGAUAAUAAUAUAAUUAUAUAUUACAUAUUCAAACUUUUUUAAUCCAUCAUUAUGUUUUAGGAUAAAAGGGUAAAGUAAUAAUAACAAUAACCACUGUUGUUAUAAAUCACUUGACGAAUUGCCAGUUUUCUAUAACCGGAACAGAUAAUAAUAAUAUUUAGAUGAUCAAGAUAAAUUAUAUACAUAGCAAUAUUAAGUAAUGAUAUUAAAGUGAAGAGUAUAGAUAACAUACCAAGUAGUAGUAUGAACUUUCGAUAGAAAUGAUCGUGUUGAUAACAUGUUAAAGAUUUAGAUAUUUAAAUACUUAUUUAUGAUGUUAGUGAACUAAUAAGAUGAUAUAAAAUACUACUUCAAUUUAUAAUACUUCAAAUAAUAUAUAACACUAUGAUUUAUCAAACUAAGGAAAUCAAGAGAGAAGGAAGUAUGAUGAUAUGUUUUUAUUUCUCAAAAAUGAUGUAUUUUUACAUGAAUCAAAGUGUGGUAUUUAUACUACUAAAUUUACCACUAUUACAUAUAUGAAAUUAUUUGUUUUACCACUAAUAAGUAAUUCACACUUACUAUUGUAAGUUGACAUUUUGGAUGUAUAUUUCAACCUAAAUAGUAAGAUAUAAUUAUAGGAUAAUUUCAUGAUUUUGGAUAUAUUUUUUUUUUAUAAUAAAAAUAAUAUUUCUUUUUUUUUGAAAACAUCAAAAUGGAAUUUAUAAACAUAGGCAGUGGAACCAUUUCAGCACAAGAUGUAUUGGAAGGCAACCCCUUAAAAAGAAUAGUAAAACAAUAUUUACAAAAUUACAGUCAGUCGAUACCCAGACAUAACAUAGGGUCCGACCACCACAUCUGAGUGCCAUGCACAAACAAGGCAUUAUUAGCCUGUAACCACCAUAAAGAAUGGAAUUUAAUCUUUUCAAAUAAUAUUUCUUAUAACCAGUUUUUAUAGAUAAACAUUUUACCUUCUUCAAACCCUUAGUCAAGCUCCGUCUAUGUCGCGUCAUCACUAUGAAGUUUAUCGGAAUGCUUUCCUCUUUCAAUGUCAUGUUACUAAAAUGCCAAGAACCGAAGUUUUGAUGGCAAUCGACCAUAGAGCAGCUAGAUCUAGGAUUUGCUACUCUAACCAAAAACUUACUGAACCUACUGAUUUGUUCGAGUAAGCUUUCAUGUUUUUCAUUUUUUUUUUAUCAAAUUAGCUUAGAUCUUUGGACCGACCUGAUUCUCAAUGGAUAUUCAUUUUAUACUUUAUUUGUUUGCUAUUACACCACUUUAUAACAUUUUUAAGAUCUAAAAUAUUAAAUGUUUCAAUAUGAAAUCCCAUUUUCUUCACCACAAAGUCUAUAUAUGAGAUACAUAGAGCAAAAGUUUAUAUAUAUCGCUCCUCAAAGUGGUGUAAUAACUCACAAACACUAAAUACAUUCCAUAUGUUUUUUUUUUAUUAUUACAAGACCCUAUAAUAACUAGUUAUAAUUAUAAAUUUGUAAAAAUAGUUUAACUUUCAUGUAUUGUUUACAAAUCACAACCAAUCAUCUAUGACCUUAAAAAACGGUUAUAAUAAAAGUCAAAAUAUUUUAUAGUCAUCUAACCAUUGUGUUCAAUUACGAGUGUAAAAGUUCUUUACACAAGACAAUGUUUAAGAAUGAAAUCUUCGUGAAAUAUGUUACUUUUCCAUAAUCACCUCUACAAUUCAUUAUAUCAUAUUCAUAGAAAAUAAAUUAACGUUUUUCAAUUGUAAGUUAUAUAUGAAUAUUAUUGUAAAGAAAUUAUUAAUACAUUUAAAAGUUUUGUAAAAAAUAUUUUUGUAAAGAGACAAAGAAAUAUGAAAAGAUGGUCUUAUAAUUAUUGAGUGAGGAAGUAGUCUUUUCUAAACAGAAUUAAUUGUCUAACAAAGGAAAUCAACUAGAGUAUUUAUUCACCAAAAAACCAUAAUAAAAUAUGUAAUAAUUAGUUAAACAACUAAUAAUCACUUGAGAACCAAAUUCACAUGACAAUAAUAUAAUUAUAUAUAUUACAUAUUCAAUCUUUUUUAAUCCUUCAAUAUGUGUUAGAAUAAGGGGUAAAGUAAUAAUAACAAUAAUAGCCACUCUAGUAUAUGAUAAUUCAAUAUGAUAUUCAUUUAUUUAUACUCUUAUUUUAAUUCUUCUUUUCCAUACCAUUUAUUAAUUUUGUCAAACAUCUAAUUAUAUCUAUUUCUUCACUUAUUUUUAUCUUUUUUCUGAUGCAGAUUGACCGUAAUUCUGUUAAAGGUUUGGUCAUUGGGAUGCCGGGUGGAUAUCCAUCUCUUUUACGUACGUCAACGAGGAUGAAUCCACUAUUCUAGCCGAAACUUGGAUUGAGGAAAUGACAAUGAAAGGGGAGCUCCUACGUCAACGGUGGCAGCCAAGGUUUUUCUCGCGGUUAGUGGAAAAAUUACAGAGUAUUGGUUGUAUCUCCGAAUAAACAUACAUCACUAAUCAUCAUUGAUUUUUUAUUUUUUUUUAAAAGAAACAUAUAGUAUAUUCUUUAAUGAUGCAUGUUUUAAGAUGUAACAUAUUGAAUGUGUAUGGGAUAAUUGACUUGUGGGUUGAUGUAUCAAAACCUGAAUUGUUUAAAAGGCGGUUCUUGUUUCUUCCUUAUAGUACAAUAUCCCGUUUUAUAAACUUAACAAUUGAACUACUUUAUAAAUAUGAAAUAUCAUACAAAAUAUAUUUGAUUAAUAUUUAUUUUUCAAUUAAGAUAACACUGGUAAAAUUAUGAGGAAAACUAUAAGUUUUAAUCUAUAAACUAUAUGAAUUAGUUUACAUGAAUUAGUUUAUAAAUAAUUAUUAUAAGCUAGUAAAAAUAAAAUAUAAACUCAUGAAAAAAUGAUUGUUACUAAACAUAUCCUUUUAAUUGGAUGAUUUUAUAAGCUAUAAGCUAAUUUAACAUGCUUGUGAAAUAAAACCUAGCCUUUGAAAAUUUUAACAAACAAGAUCUAUUUAUACUUAGUUUAGAUCGAUCAAACCUUGAAAAGUAUGAUCCAAUAAUUCAAUAAUUCACAAGUCAUUGGUGAUCAAAUGAUCAAUAAAAAGUUUGAAAUUUUUGAAUGUUGUGAUAAGUUUAAAAAAAUUAUUGGAGCAAAUAAGAGAAUAUAUAUAAUAAAACGCAGUUCUGCAUGUUCAAAUUAACGAGGACUAUUGUAAUUUUUGUAUUGCAAAAUUUCGAUGAAAAAAAUCAUAAAUUCGAACACUUAUAAUAUAAAAAAAUGUAAUUAUUGAGGUUAACUGUCCUACUAUUAUAUAGCACAUAAAAUUGAAUUUCUUAUUAGUGAUAUUUUAUUUAUUUAUUUUGUUAAGAAUAAGAACCAUGUUUAAGAAAUUUAAACAUUAUUUUUUUUUAUCGAAGGAAAGUUAAGCCCUAAGAAUUCACGAAAAUGAAGGUAGAUUUCAAGGCUCAAAUAGUAUUAAAAAAAAAAAAAUUUACCUAUCAAAGAAGUUCUCACAUAUAUAGCAAGAGUUAAUCUUACAUCUUUGUGAAGCAUGAAUCAACACCUUAUUGAUUGGUUCAACCUCCACUGGUGAAAUUUAAUUCUUCUUUGAUUUUAUUAAAUAAGUUCUAAUGAAUUAAAUAUGUUUUAUAUUUUUUCCAAAGUCAUAUGAAUUAACAGAUACCAUCAAAGCACAAGGCGUAUAUUUCUUAAUAUAAAAAAAGUUACCACUCAAAAGUCUGUCCCAAAAACAAAGGAUCAAACACCAUCAAACAACAAGGAUGGUAGCAAAACAAAGCAUAGUUAACAAGACAACAACAAUAAAAACAAAGCCUCAAAACACCUCAAAGGUUACCAUAUAAGUUGUCAAGACACUCUGCUGGAUGAUCACACAAUUGGUUUAAAUUGAAACAAAAAUCUAUCCAGGUGCUUCAACCACCACCGAAACAAGAAUUUAACAUGAUCCAUAAAUAAUGCAACAUUUUUUCUCAUUCCUAGGUCAGAACACCAAAUUAUUGUGUGUCUUUCAAACACAUCAAGCCAUCUUUCAUAUAUAAAUUUUGACCUUUCCACCCUUACAAUUUUGCUAGAAUUUUAUUAAUAACUAGGUUCCAAAAAGCUAUCCUCUCCUGAUAUUUCCAUCCAUAUAUUCAAAUGUAGCUUGGCCACAUUUGCCCUUAAGCACUUGUUGCUUCGUCCAACCAAGUUUCAUUCACAUUGACUCCAACUAAAAAAACAUUUAUGGAAGAUCACUUUUAAAGCAUGUCAUCUCAAAAAAAGCUCUAAUAUUUGCCUAUGACUUCUCUUCCUUCAAACUCAUAUCAUCAACAUAUUGGGUAUGUAUUAAUUUGAACUCAUCAUUAUUUCCAACCUGAACUUUAUCAAUACAUGUCAUAAGUAGAAAAUUGAGACCUUCAACAAUAAGAAAAAAUAAAAAAGGUAAAAAGGAAUCACCUUACCCCAGCCCCCAACUCGUUUUAACAAAAAUUGUAAUAUUGAUUGUGUCAAAACACUCCAUAAUUCAUCAUCUCCCAAAUCUAUAUAUAUAUAUAGUUCUCAAAAAGGGUCUGUAAGACUCGACUCGUAAUCUCGUACGAGUUAUGGAAAAUUAAAAAUGAUAUUAAAAUU